UCUCCGUAGGUGAACCUGCGGAGGGAUCAUUACAGAGUUCAUGCCCUACCGGGUCGAUCUCCCACCCUAUGUUAUUAUUACUUUGUUGCUUUGGCGGGCCGUUAGGCUCCGGCCCGACUACCGGCCCCGGCUGGUAAGCGCCCGCCAGAGGACCCAAAACCCUGAAUAUUAGUGUCGUCUGAGUACUAUAUAAUAGUAAAAACUUUCAACAACGGAUCUCUUGGUUCUG
rnacentral:misc_RNA from 1 species